UUAAGUCCCGCAACGAGCGCAACCCUUGUCUUUAGUUGCCAUCAUUAAGUUGGGCACUCUAGAGAGACUGCCAGGGAUAACCUGGAGGAAGGUGGGGAUGACGUCAAAUCAUCAUGCCCCUUAUGCUUAGGGCUACACACGUGCUACAAUGGGUAGUACAGAGGGUUGCCAAGCCGUAAGGUGGAGCUAAUCCCUUAAAGCUACUCUCAGUUCGGAUUGUAGGCUGAAACUCGCCUACAUGAAGCUGGAGUUACUAGUAAUCGCAGAUCAGAAUGCUGCGGUGAAUGCGUUCCCGGGUCUUGUACACACCGCCCGUCACACCACGGGAGUUGGAGACGCCCGAAGCCGAUUAUCUAACCUUUUGGAAGAAGUCGUCGAAGGUGGAAUCAAUAACUGGGGUGAAGUCGUAACAAGGUAGCCGUAUCGGAAGGUGCGGCUGGAUCACCUCCUUUCUAAGGA
rnacentral:rRNA from 1 species